GUUCGUGUAUUUUCGUAUUUGACAUUAGAGACGUCACAAAAAAGAUAAAUAUUUUUACACGUCGAAAAGUUUUAAUUCACAUUUAACGCGAUUUUCUCUCGAAAUAGCACAUUUUGUACACCAAAAGGCACCCCGUUAAUAUAAAAAUGAAGUCCAGCAUCUUCAUUUUAGUGUUAGCUGUUUUAUUGUAUAAUGUAUCAGCCAAAAUAGAUCCAAGAAAUUUGAAAUGUUUAGUAUGCCGGACGACCUUCAAGGAAUUAAAUAGUGUGAUAAAAGGCGUGGACAAAUG
rnacentral:lncRNA from 1 species